AAGAGUUUCAUUUGUGUUACGAUAAAGAUCAAAACAAAAGCAAAAUUGUAUUCCAUUUUUAUCUGUAAAAACCUUCUAUUGUUUCCGAAUCGUGGUGACAUAUCUGUCUAAAUCUUUUCUGAAUUUCCUCAACUAUGGGCAACCAAUUUUCCCAUCAAGUCGAAGAGACUCCGGCUCCGGCCGAAACAUUUGCAACUGUUGAACCAAAUCCCGUCCCAGAGACUGUAUCUGCUUCUGGUGAUAAAAAAGAGGCCGUCGAGGAGACUGUAUCGGCGUCUGGUGACAAAAAAGGCAACUGCGGGGCAUGUUGUGCCUGUCCCGAGGCCAAGCAGGCACGUGACCAGUGCUUUGUGGAGCACGGAGCAGAGCACUGCCUGGGCGUGAUCGAUGCAUACAAGAAGUGCAUGCGCGAGGCAGGCUUCAAUAUCUAAACAAAACAUAGCCCCCUCUCCAGAUAACUUCAUAUAUUGAUCCAAAUACAUUGAAAGAAAGAACACACUAUCAUCUAAAAGAGAAGCUUCGCUGAAAGAAACCCCCUAAAUACCAAUCGUCAUGGAAUUUUAAAGAAUAUCCAUCUAAAUAUUCGAAAUAAAUUAUCCUUUCCGAGCCAAAAUA